ensembl:lincRNA
GUUUGGAAACAGAACUCCAGGCAUGUGAAUCAUUAGCCCAGCUUCCUGACAGGAAAGGACAGGGUCUAACACUCCAAGAAUCCGUGGCUGUUUGACCUGAGUGCCGGCUACAAAUUAACAAUAAAGUGACUUGGAGCCUUCAGAAGAAUACACUGUUCAGUGGAUCUAAGUUGGUACAGACAGACACCCUGUGUGAGAACAAGUGGACAUCACUAAAGAGUGGCUAUUUCAAAAGCUAAGUUGAACAGAGAGAGAAGGGACAGAAACAGACAGAGAAAGCAAAUUCUGAUAUCAUGAGUGAGAGGGGAGGCAUCAGUAUAGAUCCUACAAACACUAGGAUAAUAAUAAGAGAAUAUCAGGUGCAACUUGACACAAUAAAUAGAAGUUAGAAGACAUCGAGAAGUCUCUUAGGGGAAAAAAAAAACUAAGCUGACUCCGCCUGAGGCUUUGGGACAAAUUUGUAACUGCAUUUACAAACUGAAGAAAUGAUAUUUCCAACUCACUUUCCCACUUCCUGUGUACCAUGCAAAUUCUAAGAGUCAUAAAUUCACAAAGUC